CCUACGGGAGGCAGCAGUGGGGAAUAUUGGACAAUGGGCGAAAGCCUGAUCCAGCAAUUCCGCGUGUGUGAAGAAGGCCUUCGGGUUGUAAAGCACUUUAGUGGGGGAAGAAACAGCUUGGCCACACCAAGCCUUGACGGUACCCCAAGAAUAAGCACCGGCUAACUCUGUGCCAGCAGCCGCGGUAAUACAGAGGGUGCAAGCGUUAAUCGGAUUUACUGGGCGUAAAGGGUGCGUAGGUGGCUAUUUAAGUCGGAUGUGAAAGCCCGGGGCUCAACCUCGGAAUUGCAUUCGAUACUGAGUGGCUAGAGUUCGGUAGAGGGCGGCGGAAUUUCCGGUGUAGCGGUGAAAUGCGUAGAUAUCGGAAGGAACAUCAAUGGCGAAGGCAGCCGCCUGGGCCUGGACUGACACUGAGGCACGAAAGCGUGGGUAGCAAACAGGAUUAGAUACCCUGGUAGUCCACGCCGUAAACGAUGAGAACUUGACGUUGGUUCGUUUUAACGAAUCGGUGUCGCNGCUACGACGAUAGUUACUCCGCCGUCGGGUAGGUACGGCCGCGAGGUUAGUAACGUACGAAGAAGUUAGACGGCGUGAGACGNGCCGACGGACGACGACGAGGGAGGUAGG
rnacentral:rRNA from 1 species